AUUGCAUCUGACCAUUUUUCAUGACAUAAAAACGGUGUCAUUUGGCAGCUAAAAACCUAUCUUUAUUAGUGUGUGAAAAGUAAAUCUAUAAACUUAGACUAGUACGAUAACAUGCUGAAAUUGUUUUACCUUUUUUGAUACACCCUGCACUAUACAUGUUGCAAGGUUUUCGAGAUUUCCAUCUACAAAAAACCAUUCAACAUUUAAUAUAUCGAUUGAGAUGCCUGAAUUCCUGAUAUUUACCCAUAUACCUUACAUUGUCAUCACGUAGUAUGUACUGUAUACAUGAACUUGUGGUUGAAACUCG